AAAUUCUGAACCCUUCUGGUAGUAAUUCCACCAAACACUCGUACUUACGCGGUUGGGCUUUUCGUCACGGGAACCAUUGUUGCGCUUUCGCCUGAGGCGACCUCGAAGUUUUUCGCUCCAACCAAAAAUGGCCCGAUCUCUACGACAGGGCUUCAACAUCGCCCGAGCGCACGUGCUUUCGCGGCCACGAUGGGCGUCGUCGCAGUCUUCGGAGGCGCUGGUGGAGGUCAAUGUCCCCGACUUUGGCAUGAUCUCCGGAAUUCCCGAACAGCAUCUCCGACGAAGGGUUAUAAUCUACUCGCCUGCUCGAACUGCGAGCCAACAAGGUUCUGGGAAAGUCGGGAGAUGGAAAAUUAAUUUUCUUUCGACGCAGAAGUGGGAAAACCCAUUGAUGGGAUGGACAUCUACAGGUGAUCCCUACGCCAAUGUUGGUGAAGCAGGACUGAGUUUUGAGAGUGAAGAAGCUGCGAAGGCAUUUGCUGAGAAACAUGGCUGGGAUUAUACGGUCAGGAAGCGUCACACUCCACUUUUGAAGGUCAAGGCUUAUGCAGACAACUUCAAGUGGAAGGGCCCUGAAAAGAGUGAGAAGACUGCAGCUGAUGCUGCAAACAUCUGAGAACGUUAUUUCCUCCCCCAGAAUGUCCCUACCUACCCCCGCAAAUGCCAUUGUGCGCGGUACAUACCAUUAGCGACAAUGACGUCAAGUCGCGGGUGUAGUACAAAUUUUUCAAGCACUGGAGCUGGAGGACUGACAGCCCUCUCUGCUGUGGGUGUGGAACCUCCAUUCAAAGAGGUAGUCCUUGGACUCACAGGACAGCUUCAUCACGUCGCAGAACGUGUUGAUCGCGUGCUUGUUCAUGUCUU